UUUUCCAUAACCUGGCAACAAGCAACAAGCCAAAGAAAUUAUAAGGAAAUGUCGUACCUGCUCCUUUUACAAUCAGACGCCACUACCAGCAGGAUAUAACCCAAAGGGUACUCAGAGGAAUGAAAUAUGGCAGAUGGAUGUGUUUCAUUUUGUAGAAUUUGGAAAAUUGAAAUAUGUUCACCACACCAUUGAUACCUAUUUGGGAUUUCAAUGGGCAACUGUUCUGAGUUUUGAAAAGGUUGAUUCUGUAAUCACGCAUUUGCUAGAAGUUAUGGCCAUCAUGGAUAUACCUGUACAAAUUAAAACUGACAAUGCUCCAGUAUAUGUCUCUGGUAAAAUGAAACAGUUUAUUGCUUAUUACAAUAUAAAGCAUAUUACAGGUAUGCCACCUAAUCCUAUAGGCCAAGCAGUCAUAGAAAGAUCAAAUCAAAUUCUAAAGGAUAUACUAAAUAGACAGAAGGGGGUAACAAAAACCCCCAGAAAUAGAUUAUAUAAUGCUCUAUUAACUUUGAAUUUUCUCAGUGGUAAUGAGAAAGGAACAACAGCUGUGGAGAGACAUUGGAUAAUAGAAAAAACUACAGAAUUAAAUCAGCCUGUAUACUUUAAAGAUGCACUGACUUCAGAAUGGAAACCAGGAUAUGUAUUACAUUGGGGACAAGGUUUUGUUUUUGUUUCAAUGGGAGAAGAAGAGCUAUGGAUACCAACAAAAUUGAUAAAGGUUCAAUUUGAACGAGAGAGACAUCUUAAUUAGAAUAGGUAAUAGUUCAUCAAGCAGCAUGACCAUUAAAUUUAAAUUAACUUAUAUACUAACAAAUGCUUUUUAUUUAAUCAGAUAUAACUUGCCAAAAGGGAGCCUCCCCAAAGCUAGGGUUGGGGAAGAGUUUUUGUUUUUGUCUUUCAGGAGAAUGAAGGCUAAGGAAUCUGAAGAACACUGGACAAAUGAGACAUCUGAAGAAAAAGGACAAAUUAUCCAGAAAAAAUGUCUCAAGAAAAAGAGUAAAUUUGCCUAUUGAUAUAUCACAUAUCUAACAGGAUGAAAUUUCGGAAUCAUGACCAUGCCUAACAGCAAAUCUGAAGUCUCCAGAAAGAUGAUGGGGCCCCACAACAACGAUCCCAUCAGGACAGUGAUAAUACCACUAAGCUGACAAACACCAUCCAAAGUUCGGCUUUGGACUACAAACUGCUCAGGACAAUUUUGAGAUGGGUAGCUGAGAUGAUUCAGCCUCACAGACUACCUGAGCAAGGACUUGAGACAGGUCCUGCAUUUUUACAUUAUACACACACUGGACAACAAAUGAAUACAGCUACCUCUCCCAGAACUUGACAAUUAAACCCAAAAUUUUUCUUUUCAAGAUCCCCUAAAGAUGCCUUUACCCCAAGACAGCAGGAAGUAAUUUUAACAACACAACACCCACAUUCCCAAGAGGUGAGGUGGGUGAUUUUUGGUCAUUCAAUGGGUUAUGGAUAGCUUUCAUUGUUUAGGAUGGUUGGUUACAAGUUGUUAAUUGUUAAUGGUCAGGGAAUUAGAUUCAGUGUUCUUGUUUGAAAAAAAAAGAGGAUAUAGAUAAGAGGUAGAUUAUUGAAUCUACUCUGAAAAAAAGAUAUAGAAAUGAUAGAAUAAAGGGUAAAUUAUUGAAUCUACUCUGAAAAAAGAGAGAAUAUGGAUAUGUUAAGAUAAAAAGGUAGGUUAUUGAAUCUACUUUUAAAAGGCAACUACUAAUUUUACAAUAUUUUACAUUGGAUUGGAUUUUUGUAUAUUGUAUACAAAUUAUGCAUAUUGCUACAAAUUUGAGAUUGAUUUUGUUAGAAAAUACUGUACAUAUAUUUCUAAUCUUGUUCAGGUAUUGUACCUAUACAGUUCAUUUAACAAUGUAAUGCAAUUUUCUAGUCCUUAAAAGUUGUUACCAACUAUUUAGGAUAAUAAAGAAAUGCAGUUAGUAGUCAGUCACUAAAUCAAACUUGUAGUCAUAUUAGGUAUGUUUUCAAGGUGAAAGCGAGAUAUAUUUUAGAUAAGCAGGUCAUCUUCAAACACUUCAGAGAUCUACAGAAUAUGGCAUUUAAGGUGUUUUAAUAACAUAGUUUUUUUUUCUUUUUUUUUUUUUGACAAUGAGACAUGUCUGCUCCUGGCAGCACCAAUCUACUUCAGAGAAGAUGAUGGGCAUUGAAGAAACUCCUUACAGAGUUUACUUUCAUUGCAGCAAAAGUUAGCCACUGGGCAAGAAAGUGCCCUUGCUUCAACUGCAGACAGUAUGCUGUCCAAAAUGGACAAGCAGGACACAAAAGAAAGGACUGCCAAUCCUUGCCAAAGCCAGGUAGGAAGUAUCUUUAGAAAAUCCUGCUUUACAGAUGAGUCUGUCAGAUAUGCUAAGCCUGUAGGCCAAAGAUGGAUGCCCCAAUGUUGCAGAGAAACCUCGGAUGACUGUCCAGGCAGCCAGCUGUUUCUGUCAUUUCCACCUGUUUUGGAAGUCGCUCGUUUGCACUUCCUGUCUGACUAGGUACUAUUAUUUCCUUCUCGGGUCUCUGAGGGAGUUGAAGAUUAGAUGGUUAUAUUUAUAGUUUUCCUUGUUCACAAAUUCAGAGCAGAAACUCACUAAAGAGGUAUAAAGUGUAUAAGUUUGAAAAGACAUCAAAGGAUAGUUUUCAGUUGGUAAUACAAGUUAGGAUGAAAAGUGAAUUAGGUGCAUUUUGAACUCACAAAAUAGGAUAGAUAAUGGAGUAUUUACUCUGAAUUUGUUAAAUGCAAAUGGACUAGACAUUGUCAAUGUACUUAUUGCCUGUAUAUAUUGUAUAUAGUUAUUGUACUUAUUGUAUAUAGUUUUUCUUAUAUUAGUUAUAACUUUUUAAAAAUUUUAGACAAAAAAAAGGAAAUGUGGUGAUAUUUUAUUUGUGCUCUAACAAAUGAAUAAUAAUAAAGCUUGCCUGGGGAUCAGAGGAAAAGCCAGCCAUUAUAUUAAACAUAGAGAUCAGGCAGUGGUAGCACACGCCUUUAAUCCUAGCAUUCAGGAGGCAGAGAGUCAUCCAGAUCUCUGUGAGUUCAAGGCCACACUGGGACCAGAGCCAGGCAUGGUGGCACAUGCUUUUAAUCCCAGUACUAGUUAACCAUAGAAGUCUGGAGGUCUGUACAGACAGACAGGAAGUGAUAUAGCUGGGCAGAGAGAGAAAGUAAGAUGGCAGGGCACAGAAAGGUAUAUAGGCGUGGGUAUACAGGAAGUAACUCUUUUAGGCUGAGGAUUUCCUAGUGGUAAGAACUUGUGGGUCUAGCUUCUUCUAUUCCUCUGAUCUCUCAGCUUUCACCCCAA